rnacentral:rRNA from 1 species
GACGAAGGGGCUAGCGUUGUUCGGAAUUACUGGGCGUAAAGCGCGUGUAGGCGGUUGUCCAAGUUGGAUGUGAAAGCCUUGAGCUUAACUCAAGAAAUGCAUUCAGGACUGGAUGACUAGAGGACCGGAGAGGAUAGUGGAAUUCCAGUGUAGUGGUGAAAUACGUAGAGAUUGGGAAGAACACCAGUGGCGAAGGCGGCUAUCUGGACGGUUUCUGACGCUAAGACGCGAAAGCGUGGGAGCAAACAGG